CCUAUAAUGUACUGGUUUUUAUAUGUAGAGUUCGUGAAAGAACACUAUUUUUAGGUUUACAUUACUAGUAUAAAUCCUAUAAUUUGCUCUACUUUUUAAGAUUGCGUCAUACAACGUCGCUAUAUAUUAUUAGAAGUGGUAACGUAUUGUAAAACAUAAUUAUGCAAUGAGCGGUUUAAUAUAUAAUAAGAUCUUGAAAAAGAAAUUUUCUUUCAAAAUACGCAAUAAGGUUAUUUUACUUAUAGCCCGAAUGGCACACCAUAUUUUUCAAUCCUUCAUUCGGCCAUUUUCACACGCCGCGCCGUUAGCCUGUUUGCGCUGUUCGUGGAAGUUGCAGAGGAUGUACUCAUCGCAUUUCAAUGAUGAUAUAAUAUGUACAGCAAAAAUUAAUGGCAAGGGUGACAUGAAUCAGAUUGACAAGAAUCCAUAUUCCUACUCCUCAAUAAUGCUAUCAUCACUGCCAUCAGAUUCGUCAAUGAUAGUGGCAUCAGUGACACAUGCGGAUAAGUGUUGGACAUCACUGAAGGGAUAGCUUCCUUGUUGUGCCUGCCAAUAGCAAGGUACCAGAUUAUACAGCAGUUAUGUGGAAACAGAUUCCCACAAUAGGGGGACCAGAUUGACACCUACAUUGUACAGUAUCAGGCAGUUAUAUCAGAACUGGAAAAACUGGAUCCAAACAAGACUAUAUUGCUUGGAAGAAACAUGUCGACUCUGAAGUUUAACCCUUAUUAACCCAUGGCACUUCUAUGUCAUUUGAAAUAUACCUGUGGAGGUU